UACGGAGGAUGCGAGCGUUAUCCGGAUUUAUUGGGUUUAAAGGGUGCGUAGGCGGAUCGUUAAGUCAGUGGUCAAAUUGAGGGGCUCAACCCCUUCCCGCCAUUGAAACUGGCGAUCUUGAGUGGAAGAGAAGUAUGCGGAAUGCGUGGUGUAGCGGUGAAAUGCAUAGAUAUCACGCAGAACCCCGAUUGCGAAGGCAGCAUGCCGGCUUCCUACUGACGCUGAAGCACGAAAGCGUGGGGGUCGAACAGG
rnacentral:rRNA from 1 species